UCGUCACCACCGGUAGACCAACCAUCUCUGAUCAAAGUAUCUCUAAUCAAUGGAGCUCCCUUGGCCGCUCAUAACCGUGAGCACGACUGAGAUAUUAGUUUCAUAACACUCUACAGAGGUUGCGCACUUUACCCACAAGUCGUGAUUCCCUUUCUGCCCGGAGAGAGCUACUCCCCAUUGACCACUACCUAGGUGGCCUGGCAGGGUAUCACUACGAAGCCUUUACAAAGAUUCCCUGAGGCUGUAGCCGCCCAUUAGGUUUCCUAAAUGUACCGCACUCCUCCCUAAGGAGUGUGUUACAUUUAAUUAAUUAAUUAACAAUUAAUUAAUUAAACAAUAAUUAAUUAUAACACAAGUCAUGGAAAAAUAAUGCUACUAACACGUAAUCGACAUUAUUAUAAAGCUAACGCGACUGAAACAUGUAGAAACGGGUCUGCGACCCAAAAUAUAUCGACUAUCUAAUAGCCCGUGGAAUUACGAUGAUGUGGCACAUUUUCAUUGGCCCGAAACAAAGCCACGCGACGGUCCACAAAGAGCAUGGCUGCUGAAAAUCAUUCACAACUAGGCCUAUGGGACCCUGACACAUGACGAGAUGGUUUUUCUAAAGCAUAGCGCACGUAUAGUAAUGGGAUCGUGGGGCCCAUGGCAGUUCUCUUUUCCAGCCUAUUCGCUCGGCAUUUGAACGUGGCCAGUUUUUCUUUCUUCUACAACCUGUACGCGCAUAGAGAAGAAGGUCGUUCAUCGGCUGCCGCAGUGUCUCACCGGAGGGGAGUAGGAAUGAGCAAGGAAGGCUGGCGCGGCGCAGGGGCUAGCUCGCCGGAAUGUUGACAGAGCGAUGCGCAAGGGGCGAGCACGCCUCGGGACGAUCUUCCUGAGCAGGACGGGCGAGCGUCUCACAGAGGCUGGGGCGAACGCGCACGGCAGCAGCUCGCUGGCGGCCUACUGUGGAGCGUGGCGCAGUAGUCCGGGAGGGCACGCGUAGAACGCGGGAUUGCAUGGCGCGGAUAGUGCCCAUGGGCGUGGGCGAAGCUCGUCGCGCCAUGGAUUUGCUUGUCACCAUGGCUGCGUGCUAGGAAAGGGGCGGGCUGCGUUCACCGACUGUGCAUAGGGGUUCGGCCAAAGGGGCUACGAGCAUCGCGCUUUGCUAGGGGACAGUUUGGACCGGGGGAGAGAGCUCGGCCAAGGGCCGAGCAUGGCAGCGCACGAGGAACGCCCGAGAAUGAAAGGGAGAAUGGACAAAAUUCGUCACCUGCGCACGACGAACCGUGCUCAUCCUUUCCUGUUGCUGCAGCGCCUGGGGAACUUCUCGUCUGGGUAACUCCUUCAUGCGCAGGAAUAGAGUGAAGGGAACUGGCGUACGCGAAGGCGAGAAACAUGGGCACGGCAAGACGAGAAAGAGAUGGUUUGGGAAGAUGAACAUGGCUCUGGCGGCAGCUGCCCGUUGGGGCAGAGCAACGUGG
rnacentral:lncRNA from 1 species